CCAAUAGCGUAUAUUAAAGUUGUUGCAGUUAAAAAGCUCGUAGUUGAAUUUCAGGCCUGGCUGGACGGUCCGCCCUUCGGGUGAGUACUGUCUGUGGUCGGGUCCUACCUUCUGGCGAAGCGUCAUGGCCUUAACCGGCCGUGGCGGGGAACCAGGACUUUUACUGUGAAAAAAUUAGAGUGUUCAAAGCAGGCAAUCGC
rnacentral:rRNA from 1 species